UCCAUCUGAUGGCACAGACUGGAAAAGACGAAAGCUACCACACCAGCUACCACACAUUGGUCAAGUGCUGUCCUGUAAGAGUUCCUUUAACCCUGUUAAUCAAGCAAAGAUCAGUUCACGUGCUGAGGGUUGCAACUCCAACACCACUAACAAGAUUUCACUGUGAUCAGCUGACUGGAAAAAAUGAUGAAGGAAUCUACAAUGUCGUUGCAAGGACAAGCAAUUUUAGAAUACAAGCACCUCAACGGAAAAUCACUGGUAAUUGAAGCUGGUAGAGCGCCAUGACAUCUCUCGUAAACAAGCUGGGUUAUGGACAAGGAUCACAUCAACCAAGUUCAAAUGUCUUGAACACGACAGGGCCCCUUCCAUUCUGACUGGAAAGACAUCUAUCAUCUAUGCUUUGGUUCACCAGUUACAUCCUCAGAUGAUUCAGAACAUGCAGGACAUUGUGAACAUGGAGAAUAUCAUGCAGAACUAAGUGGUGACGAAAUACCUGAAGAUUUACUUUUUCAGCUAAGAUUGACUUGUAGGCCUAAAGGUUUAGAAGUUAUACCUAAAUUCCUCAGGACUAUGGCUUACUCCUAUUAGGUAGCCUUGAAAACAUUUCAUCCUGGAUGCAGAGAAAGACUGUAGUUUAGAUUACUUGUUAGUUAGUUUUAGUGUUAGUUUUCACUGUUGAAGGAUACAUACACAGAUUUAUAAUUUAUUAUAUCCGCACUUAAGAAGAAAGUUUGGAUAUAUUGUUUUUAUCAAGUUUGUCCAUCCGUCCGACUUGGCUUUUUCUUUGGAGCAGUACAGUUGCAAGAUAAAUCCUGUUUGUAAAUUUAUG